AAAUAUCGCCUUUAAGGAUGUCUGUGACACUCCACUCCUUUACCCGUUUCUUGUUUCUUCCCUCUCCCCAGAUCCAGUAAAAUCUACUUGGAUGGCAGUUCCGAGGACCACUUCAUGGUAUGGACCCUUCUCAGGGCUAUACUUCUGAGGUUCCCAUCAGCAUCUGGUGCACUCGCAAUGGCUUUUUAUAUCAGUUCAUAGCUACCCCUCAGAGAGAUUGUAGAAUUAUCUAACCUAUGCCUUGUGGGAAGAUUCUAUAAAAAGGUCAUAAUCUGGCUGUGGCUAUGGCUGUGAGUUGCUCUCUGAUGGUCUUUGGAACUGGCUUUGACUUAUCUGAGAUGGUAUCUUCUGCAUCUCAUCAAACUCAAAUAGCAACCAUGAAGCUUUCCCAGAGGCCAUUCUUUCUACUCCUGUCUUCCUGGCCCACGAUACUCCCAUGGAAGAGAUCUGUUCACCUUUCCAGAUACACUGUCCAUGUGUUAAUUCUCUUUAAGGGACAUUAUUGUCCCUUCUCAGGGUUGUAUCCUCUCCUCAGGGAACUACAUCAGUCUAAACACCAAUUAUAAAUGCAGUUCAAGUUUUUACCAAUGAAGAAGCUCCUCACCCAAGGUGAAUUAGUGGAUGCAAGACAAGGCAUUUGCAGAAGGAUUUACAAACACAAGGUCUGGCAGAGCUCUUUUGCAUUGUGCAGUGACUGCAUUAAAACUGUCCCUUGUCAUUCUCCCUUCACCAUGCUGUGAACAUCUAGAUGGUGAGGACUAUAUCAGAUUCACAUUUGUGUCACGAGUGUAUGGUGUGGCAACAGUUAUGUUUGGAGGCAUUGAACAUAAAGGCACUGGGUUUCAUUGAUCUUUUAAGACCGGGACUCUAUUAGUAGAAGUCUUCAGGUGGGGGCAGACUAUUUUGCCUCUCAGGGUGAUCCUUCAAGGCAUUUAUUUGCUAGGUCAUUGUUUAGAAAACAAGAUAAAAAUCCUACAGACCUUUUCUUAGCAUUUAGAAUCUGUAUAUAGAUUUCAUAUACUUGUCCCCACAGACUAUUCUGGUCCUAGUUGGUAGCAAUAAGCAUUGACAUUCUUGGAAAUGCAGUUUGGCUAAGAAUCUUUUAUCAGUUUUUGUGACCAUAUUAUAAUAAGAAAAUGGGCAUGACUGGAUUUACUGUCAGCUGAAAGAUGUGUGUUUGAUAUAUAUUUGAUCAUGAAAGACUAAUAUGUUGUGGCAGCAAAUGUAGUUUAAUGAUACUUUUAAAAAGUUAGGAUUUUAAUGUCAGAGAAGCAAACUGGAAACUCAAUAUGUAUGCACUCUGUGCCUUUUGUCUUCUUGUAAGAAUCUGUCAAUUAUCUUACCCCAAAUAAAAGUCUACUGCACUAAAACUCACUUGACAGAAACAUAAAUAAUGGCAUAAUUACAAAUAAAUUCUGAAAUUAGUUUACAUUUUUAAAUGUGCAGGUCAGGAUACGUAUAGAAAAGUGUAAACAUGUAGACAUUAUUACUUCAUUGUCUAUGAUUAUUUCCAGUAAAUUAGUUUAUAAAUUCCAGAUUCUUUUUAACUCAAUGGCAUGAAAUAAUGUGAAUAAAUACCUGGCUUUCAGAAGG
rnacentral:lncRNA from 1 species